UGCCUUAAAAUCAUUUCCUUGGAAAUCAACACUGGAGCAAGACGUUAUUAUCUUGACAAGAUUUCGAUGACGUACAUUUCUCAAGACUUUGCACUCGGCCAUAAAACUCUUUGAAGCACCUCGUUGUUGAAGGUUGAGUACUUUCACUGCAACGAUUGCUCCAUCCUCCACAGAUGUACCUUUAUAGACAGACCCAAAGCUUCCCA
rnacentral:misc_RNA from 1 species